UACGUAGGGGGCAAGCGUUGUUCGGAAUUACUGGGCGUAAAGGGCGCGUAGGCGGCACGGCAAGUCAGGAGUGAAAGCCCUGGGCUCAACCCGGGAACCUGCUUUGAAACUGCCGAGCUAGAGUGCGGAAGGGGCAACUGGAAUUCCCAGUGUAGCGGUGAAUGACGUAGAUAGUUGGGAAGAACACCUGAGGCGAAGGCGGGUUGCUGGGCCGACACUGACGCUGAGGCGCGAAAGCCAGGGGAGCGAACGGG
rnacentral:rRNA from 1 species